rnacentral:rRNA from 1 species
AUUGAACGCUGGCGGCAGGCCUAACACAUGCAAGUCGAACGAGUGGCGGACGGGUGAGUAAUGUCUGGGAAACUGCCUGAUGGAGGGGGAUAACUUCUGGAAACGGUAGCUAAUACCGCAUACCAUCAGAUGCGCCCAGAUGGGAUGAGCUUGUGGGUGGGGUAACGUCUCACCAAGGCGACGAUCCCUAGCUGGUCUGAGAGGAUGACCAUCCACACUGGAACUGAGACACGGGCCAGACUCCUACGUGAGGCAGCAGUGGGGAAUAUUGAACAAGGGGCGCAAGCCUGAUGCAGCCAUGCCGCGUGUAUGAAGAAGGCCGUCGGGUUGUAAAGUACUUUCAGCGGGGAGGCGUUACCCGCAGAAGAAGCACCGGCUAACUCCGUGCCAGCAGCCGCGGUAAUUC